AUUGAACGCUGGCGGCAGGCCUAAAACAUGCAAGUCGAGCGGAGCGGCUGACGGGUGAGUAAUGCCUAGGAAUCUGCCUUGUAGUUGGGGAUAACGUCCGGAAACGGGCGCUAAUACCGCAUACUAUCAGAUGAGCCUAGUUCGGAUUAGCUAGUUGGGGGGGUAACGGCCUACCAAGGCGACGCUCCGUAACUGGUCUGAGAGGAUGAUCAGUCACACUGGAACUGCGACACGGUCCAGACUCCUACGGGAGGCAGCAGUGGGGAAUAUUGGACAAUGGGCGAAAGCCUGCUCCAGCCAUGCAGCGUGUGUGAAGAAGGUCUUCGGAUGGUAAAGCACGUUAAGUUGGGAGGCGUUACCAACAGAAUAAGCACCGGCUAACUUCGUGCCAGCAGCCGCGGUAAUUC
rnacentral:rRNA from 1 species